rnacentral:rRNA from 1 species
GACGUAGGGCGCGAGCGUUGUCCGGAUUUAUUGGGCGUAAAGAGCUCGUAGGCGGUUUGUCGCGUCUGCUGUGAAAACCUAAGGCUCAACCUUGGGCUUGCAGUGGGUACGGGCAGACUAGAGUGCGGUAGGGGGUGACUGGAAUUCCUGGUGUAGCGGUGAAAUGCGCAGAUAUCAGGAGGAACACCGGUGGCGAAGGCGGUUCUCUGGGCCUGU